GCGGGCUUUGCCUGCUAUCUCUUACCCAUGUCUUUUGAGUACUUACGUUUCCUCGGUGGGUUCGCCCGCCGAUUGGACAAUUUAAACCCUUUGCAGUUGCAAUCAGCGUCUGAAAAAAAUUAAUAAUUACAACUUUCAACAACGGAUCUCUUGGUUCUGGCAUCGAUGAAGAACGCAGCGAAAUGCGAUAAGUAGUGUGAAUUGCAGAAUUCAGUGAAUCAUCGAAUCUUUGAACGCACAUUGCGCCCCUUGGUAUUCCAUGGGGCAUGCCUGUUCGAGCGUCAUUUGUACCUUCAAGCUCUGCUUGGUGUUGGGUGUUUGUCUCGCCUUUGCGUGUAGACUCGCCUCAAAACAAUUGGCAGCCGGCGUAUUGAUUUCGGAGCGCAGUACAUCUCGCGCUUUGCACUCAUAACGACGACGUCCAAAAGUACAUUUUUACACUCUUGACCUCGGAUCAGGUAGGGAUACCCGCUGAACUUAAGCAUAUCAA
rnacentral:rRNA from 1 species